CGACACAAUAGCCAGAUACAAAAGACACAACC
rnacentral:piRNA from 1 species